UACGAAGGGGGCUAGCGUUGCUCGGAAUCACUGGGCGUAAAGGGUGCGUAGGCGGGUCUUUAAGUCAGGGGUGAAAUCCUGGAGCUCAACUCCAGAACUGCCUUUGAUACUGAGGAUCUUGAGUUCGGGAGAGGUGAGUGGAACUGCGAGUGUAGAGGUGAAAUUCGUAGAUAUUCGCAAGAACACCAGUGGCGAAGGCGGCUCACUGGCCCGAUACUGACGCUGAGGCACGAAAGCGUGG
rnacentral:rRNA from 1 species